rnacentral:lncRNA from 1 species
ACGAGAUUAAUCUUUUGAGCAUAUUUUUUUUUAAAAGGAGGAAACAUUCUCUGCUUUUUAGAAAGCAAAUGGUAGAUGAUAUAAAACACUGGGGAUACCAGUUCACAACACAAAAAGCAAGUAAAAAGUAGCCUCAAACAUUAUUACAAGCUAGAGUUCAACAACAUCCGAUUGUAGGAUUGGAUUUAUUUUGAAAGUCUUGAGCCAGUUUAGAAUGUCUUCUUUCGCCUGUAUGAUUUGCUUCUGGUCCUUCUCCCUAAGAAGCAUCUUUUGAGUCUAGUUAAUCCAUGGUUGAAUAAUAAUUAUCAAAUAAAAAUAAAAGUGCUACAAUAUUAAAAAAAAUUCACCUCACCAACUAAACAAGGCCUAAAAGAAACAAAGUGCAAAUAUCUCGGUGUUUGCAGAGGGAAAACAAAGUGUAAAUAUCUCGGUUUAUACCAGUGAAAAUAAUGGUAAGAUAAUAGUAGUAAGAGCAGUGAGCUCACGUGUGUGUGCCUGCCGCCCGUCGACGUCUUAACAUGUGGCCCGGAGUUCUCCAAGCUCAUAAUCGAGGCCUCCCCGAAUAUUCUACGUACUCAGCUCCACCACGCCCCAAUGCCCGGUUUGCCGCCCCCAUUGACCGGCGACGGAGAGAAGGUGGUGGUGCAGUGGUGCUGCUCGUGCUGCUAUAGCCUAUAGCUCGAUUGGCGCUGCGGCAAAGCUUGCAAAAAGAAUUGGCCGCACCUUUCUCG